UACGUAGGGUGCAAGCGUUGUCCGGAAUUAUUGGGCGUAAAGGGCGCGUAGGCGGCCUGACAAGUGGAAGGUGAAAUCCCUCGGCUCAACUGAGGAACUGCCCUCCAAACUGUUUGGCUUGAGACCGGGAGAGGUGAGUGGAAUUCCCAGUGUAGCGGUGAAAUGCGUAGAUAUUGGGAGGAACACCAGUGGCGAAGGCGGCUCACUGGACCGGAACUGACGCUGAGGCGCGAAAGCGUGGGGAGCAACGGG
rnacentral:rRNA from 1 species